rnacentral:rRNA from 1 species
AGGUUCGGGUGACCUGCGGAAGGAUCAUUAACGAGUUUUGAAAUGGGUUGUAGCUGGCCUUACGAACGCUGUGCACACCCUGCUCAUCCACUCUCAUACCCCUGUGCACCUAUUGUAGGCUUGGUGGGAACCGAAACUGGUGUCACAACCAGUCGGAAAGGGCCUUGCCUAUCCGUUUUAACACAAACGCUUUCAGUUUUAGAAGGUGUUCACAUUUGCGUCUAACGCAUGAAAUACCAACUUUCAGCAACGGAUCUCUUGGCUCUCGCAUCGAUGAAGAACGCAGCGAAGAUGCGUUAAGUCCAAUGUGAAAUUGCGGAAAUUCAGUGAAUGCAUCGAAUCUUUGAACGCGACCUUGACACCCCUCCCCUUGGUAUUCCGAGGAGUAUGCCUGUUUGAGUGUCAUGGUAUUCUCAACCUCUAAAGCUUUUSCGAUAGAGGCUUGGAUGUGGAGGUCGUGUUGGCGCAAGUCAACUCCUCUGAAAUGCAUUAGAUGUCGAAUCUUACGGAAUCGCCUCCAGUGUGAGUAAAAGUAUCUACGCUGUGGUGUUGAAGUAUAUAGGCAUUCAUGCUUCUAAUCGUCUCAUUCAUUGAGACAAUUACUUGACAAUCUGACCUCAAAUCGGAGGAUAGGACUACCACGCUGAACUUAAGCAUAUCGAAUGAAGCGGAGGAAAAGCUAAACUAACAAGUAUUCCCCUCAGUAACUGCGAGUUGUAAGCGGGAGAAGCUCUCAAAUUUGGAAUCUGUACAAGUCUCUGGCUGUCCGAGUUGUAAUCUGGAGAAGCGUAUUCCGUCGCUGACACCGAGUACCAGUGCUCUUGUGACAGAGCUGUCAUAGAGAGUGCGAGUCCCGUCUUUGACAUGCAGCUACCAGUGCUUGUAAAUGCGCUAUCUAAGAGUCUAGAUAUUGGCGAGAGACCGAUAGCGAACAAGUACCGUGAGGGAAUUAGAUGAAAAGCUAACUAUGGCGAGAGACGAAGAGUUAAACAAGUACGUGAAAUUGCUGAAAGAGGAAACGCCUUGGAAAGUCAGUCGCGUCGUCUAGAACUGCAACCUGGCUUUUGCUUGGUGCACUUUCUAGUUGACGGGCCAACAUCAGUUUUGACUGCUGGAAAAAUUCCAUUGGAAUGUGGCACCUCCGUUUUGGUGCUGUUAUAUGCCUUGGAAGUUGCUAUACCAGGGGGUUGGGACUGAGGACCCGCAGCACGCGUUAUGACCGAGGGCUCGCCCCCCGUAUCUGCUAGGAUGUGCCAAUCACCGCUAAAAGGGGGAAAGGGUAACCCUAAAAAAAAAA